rnacentral:misc_RNA from 1 species
UCUCCGUUGGUGAACCAGCGGAGGGAUCAUUACCGAGUUUACAACUCCCAAACCCCAUGUGAACCUUACCAAACGUUGCUUCGGCGGGAUGCCCCGGGCGCGGGCCGCAAGGCCUCAGCCCCGGAACCAGGCGCCCGCCGGAGGCCCAAACCAAACUCUUGUUUUUGUAGAGUCUUCUGAGUGGCCUUUUAGGCAAAAAAUGAAUCAAAACUUUCAACAACGGAUCUCUUGGUUCUG